rnacentral:misc_RNA from 1 species
GAUGAAGAACGUAGCGAAAUGCGAUAAGUAAUGUGAAUUGCAGAAUUCAGUGAAUCAUCGAAUCUUUGAACGCACAUUGCGCCCGCCGGUAUUCCGGCGGGCAUGCCUGUACGAGCGUCAUUUCAACCAUCAAGCCCUGGGCUUGUGUUGGGGACCUGCGGCUGCCGCAGGCCCUGAAAUGCAGUGGCGGGCUCGCAAGACACACCGAGCGUAGUAGCUUACAACCUCGCUUUGGGAGUGCUGCGGGUGCUGGCCGUAAAGCGACCUUUGCGUCUUUAGCACUAGGUUGACCUCGGAUCAGGUAGGAGGACCCGCUGAACUUAAGCAUAUCAAUAAGCGGAGGA